AUGUCGCUCAAUUUGAUCUGCAGGAGAGAGAGAAGGAAGGAGAGGAGGGAGAAAGGAAGAGGAAAGAGAAAAGGGAGGUGCGGCGACGGAUGGGUGAGGGUCACCGGAAGGAGCGCCGCCGGCUCGUCGCCUUUCACACCGAGGUGGAGCAAAUAUGUCUCUGUACAGCCCUCAUGCUCGCAGGGGCCUUGCGAGAAGUGGAAGGUAGAGGUCGUACGCCAGCCGGAGCAACAGGAGCAAGGAUCUGGCGUCAUCUGCCUCCCGGUUGCACAACACCACUGCAUCUCCUUCCUGUUGUUGUUGGCGGCAUCCGCCUCUCAGUUGCAUGCUGCCACUGCAUCUCCUUCCUGUUUUAUUUUUAGAUUUUACAUGUUCAGCUAUAGGUUGGCUUGA
rnacentral:rRNA from 1 species